rfam:Rhodnius prolixus Rhodnius_prolixus-3.0.3-81.45, whole genome shotgun sequence.
GGUUAUGUUGACUCACUCAAUCUGGGUGUGAUGUGCAAGUUAAUGUCCCCAUCACAACCUCCUUGAGUGAGCGAAUAUAACC